CACCAAAAUGCACAGGCUGUGAACUCGAAGAGUAGGGCGGGACACGUGGUAUCCUGUCUGAAUAUGGGGGGACCAUCCUCCAAGGCUAAAUACUCCUGACUGACCGAUAGUGAACCAGUACCGUGAGGGAAAGGCGAAAAGAACCCCGGCGAGGGGAGUGAAAAAGAACCUGAAACCGUGUACGUACAAGCAGUGGGAGCACCUUCGGGUGUGACUGCGUACCUUUUGUAUAAUGGGUCAGCGACUUAUAUUCUGUAGCAAGGUUAACCGUAUAGGGGAGCCGCAGGGAAACCGAGUCUUAACUGGGCGUUAAGUUGCAGGGUAUAGACCCGAAACCCGGUGAUCUAGCCAUGGGCAGGUUGAAGGUUGGGUAACACUAACUGGAGGACCGAACCGACUAAUGUUGAAAAAUUAGCGGAUGACUUGUGGCUGGGGGUGAAAGGCCAAUCAAACCGGGAGAUAGCUGGUUCUCCCCGAAAGCUAUUUAGGUAGCGCCUCGUGAACUCAUCUUCGGGGGUAGAGCACUGUUUCGGCUAGGGGGUCAUCCCGACUUACCAACCCGAUGCAAACUACGAAUACCGAAGAAUGUUAUCACGGGAGACACACGGCGGGUGCUAACGUCCGUCGUGAAGAGGGAAACAACCCAGACCGCCAGCUAAGGUCCCAAAGUCAUGGUUAAGUGGGAAACGAUGUGGGAAGGCACAGACAGCCAGGAUGUUGGCUUAGAAGCAGCCAUCAUUUAAAGAAAGCGUAAUAGCUCACUGGUCGAGUCGGCCUGCGCGGAAGAUGUAACGGGGCUAAACCAUGCACCGAAGCUGCGGCAGCGACACUAUGUGUUGUUGGGUAGGGGAGCG
rnacentral:rRNA from 2 species